rnacentral:tRNA from 1 species
GAGGGUGUAGCUCAGUGGUAGAGUGCACGCUUAGCAUGCACGAGAUCCUGGAUUCAAUCCCCAGUAUCUCCA